AGAGAGGGGAAAGUACCUCUAGGAGAGAAGGCCGCAGCUGGGAGCUGGCUGGCCUGGGAGGGUGCAGACACCCUUCCUGGGGAAACACUGCAUCUUUAUCAAGGAAAACUCCCCCAUGGGCCUGUUUGGUCAGGCAGUGCCUCUGGGCAGGACCGGGAGGAGUUCAGACAGCUAAGAGUCAAAUGGCCCUACCCAUAAUGGGAAUUUAGAGCUGCUCAUGGGCACUGUGGAAGAGGAGAAAGACCCAGAGGGAGACCCACUGCAGCCAAGGAGGCUACGUAGAGGCAGUGGAAGUCAGAGGUCCUUCACACACUCAAAGGCAAGAGUUGAUGCAGGUGUGAAUCCCGGUGCCACCGUUGGUCUGUCUGCAACACCAGCUUCCAUGCUUGGAUCACACCUCGGAUGCACACGCUUGAAGAUCAUGUGCCACAGAAGCUCAUUUGCCAACCCUUUCACCAACUCUGGUCCAUGCACUCGGCAGCCUUCAGGCCACCCUUGAAGGUUCCACAGAGCCUCCACAGACAGGGGAGUCCCUGAAAGUAAAAAUACCUCAUGGACCAGACACCCCCCAAAACAAAGCAAAGCCACUGCCUCGAGUCCUCUGCCCCUGUUACCACCGCUUGCAGCCUUUUCUGGCUUCCACCUCCAGGUCCGUCCUCAUCCCCACCUCUCCUCCACCUUCUGCUCACAGUCCCGGCAUCCACUUGGGCUUUGUCCCUCGACUCCACCCCUGUCCUAGACUGAAUCUGAUGUCCACUCCCACUCCCAGCCCCGGCCCCACAGAGUCCCUGCUGGGUCUCAUCACAGCCUGGACGCGACCUAGUGGGACUGGCUAUUCCUGUUAAAGUAAAAUUCACAACACUUUGUGAAUUUCCAGCACUUGCACUAUCCCCCAUAGCUUCAGCACAGAUCAGUGUUUUCCUGUCUUUGACAAGUUUAUUCGAUUGUUUGAAAAUGUUGAUUAACAAUGUAGGAUCAAGGCCGGGCGCGGUGGCUCACACCUGUAAUCCCAGCACUUUGAGAGGCCCAGGCGGGCAGAUCAUGAGGUCAGGAGAUCAAGACUAUCCUGGCUAACACGGUGAAACCCCA
rnacentral:lncRNA from 1 species